rnacentral:lncRNA from 1 species
UUGGGCUAAGGCUGCUUGGCAGUGUUUCUGAUGUCACUGUUGUGCUCGGAAGGCUGGAGAAGUCCCAGGUAUUCACAGGCUGUAUUGGUUCAGACGGCUGAGAGUGAUCGAUGCAUUUUGGAUUGUCAAGUAAGGUCACUUCAUAAAAUUCUUGAAUAUCGAUCAGCGCCUGGAAAAGGUUGCUCUGGAAGAUGCCGAUGACCCGCUCGAUGGAGUUCCGCAGCUGCCGGUCCUCCGCCUGGCUCAGCUUGGAGCGGUACUCCUGCAGGAGGCGCAGGGCGCGCUGGGUAUCUUGCUUCCUGACGGGCAUGGCGGCUCCGCCUCGCAAACUUUGAGCCCGACCCGGCGCGGGGCGGCGGCGCGCACCCCCUGCCGGCCGGGCGCGGGGGGACCGCCCCGCCCGACCCACCGCCCCGCCGAGCGACCGAGCGACCCUCCCGGCGGCUCCGCUCGGGGCUUCCGCCGCGAGGAGCGGGACGGGUCGGGGACGCGGCGGGCCGGGCGCGGGGCGGCUGAUAGGGGCCGGGCAGGGCUGGGCGCGCGCCGCCGCCGCCUCCCGCUCUCAGCGCUCGGAAAUUCCAAACUUUCCAGCCAAAAUGGCGGCCUGGAGGCUGGGGGGAGCGCGCCCCCCCCCUCCCACGUGAC